AUUUCAACAAAAGACAAAGACAAACGACAGAUAAAGUGGGCCAGUUCAGUGGCUGUCCUUCCUAAGAAUCUAAAGUAUGUAACUGCUUUGAAUGUGCUGCCUAGACCAGUGGAAUUGGCAGGAACUCACCAAUGCUUCUGGCAUCAACUGCAGAGUUUGCUUGGUCCACUUAGAGAAAGCUGCUGUCCUUUUUCCCACUCCGUGCUGGCAAAGGGCAGGGAUGUUGCUAGAUGUUUAGAAGACAUGAGGCGCCGUCCCAGAUGACAUACAUUUACAGACUCCUGAUAGCUCCAGCCAAGUCCUCUCCUGCCAUCCUAGGUCUGAAGAUGUGGUGAGUGGAGUGGACAACAGGAAGAAAGCCAGAGAGCAAGGAGAGAGAAAGUGGCAGGACCUGCUGCAAAGAAACCAGGCAAGAGUAGAAGAACGGAGCUGAUCUUGAAAAUGGCUAAAAAGGUAUUUAAAGCCAACAAUGCCGCAUUCAUCAACAAGAGCUCAUCUGGACUCAUCAGGAGCCUUUGCCAGUACACGUUCUUUCGGUUGAUGGCAACAGUAGCAAGGCACCGAGUCCUGGGAUGAGAAAGCAUUCAGCAGUUCUUGCAUAAAAAUAGUCAAUGGAAGGAGGUUGUCAUUGCAAAAAGAAAAGGAAUAAGCCUGGCUCCAGCAGCAUUUGCCCAAAGCCUAUCAUUCAGUGGGUCAAUGCCACCCAAGAAAGACAGGUUCUCUUUCUUCCAAAAUGUUUGCGCUUGAAUGUUUAGUACAAGAGAAGCAGGAGGAAGAUGUUUGCAUGUGUACUGGAUCAUACAGAAAUGCCCCUGAAGUGAAAAGAGGCUGAACAAGUCAAAGUUGAGCACAUUCCUGCAGCGGUGGCUCCCUUGGAUGCAGUGGCACUCUCCCAGCACUGGCACUUCCCGGGAGAGAGAAAGAGCUGAAGAUAAGGAAUGUGCAACAGACGCAUAGAGAUUCCUCAAUAAAUAAAUCUGUGUCCCCAAUGUUCCUGAGCCAGGGAACAAGAAUGUGCCCCUUGCAGGGCUGACUA